CUGUUGCGGAAGGUGAUGGAUUUAUAAGGUGAAAGCUGUUGGGAGUGAUGAAAGGUUGUGCUUGUAGCUUAGAGAUAAACACGUGGAAGGAAAAUAUGCAAGUAUGCAGAUGGAGUGGAUGUUUGGACUAAUCCAGGUUCUGUGGGUUUUGCUUGUGAUGGAAUUUGGGGUUAGCAGUCCUGACAGCAUUAAAUCCCUUUUUAUCUCUUCCUCUCUUUGUUAUAAUUUGCAUUGAAUUUGCAGCACCAUACUGUCAAAGUGUGGGGCCAAAUUCAGCUGCUGCCGGAGGCACAAAGGAGAUCUUUAAGCCACCAAACACUUGAAUCGUGGUCAUCCUCAUCUCAGGACAAGCAUUUCUCACCUCGGAGGUGAUGCUAUAGAGACAUUUGGCAACACUGCAAAGUCUAUCAUCCUGUCCUUGUGCUUCUAAAAUAUCACUGGUCCAUACCCAAACAGAGGAGCCAGUUGCAAAGAAGGCUGCCAGCAUAACUGUCACCACAUAGCUACAUAGGUAUAGCCUUUUGUGCCGCUGCUUCAAGGAGAAGGGGAUUUUGAGCUUCCCGUAAGACUUUCUUAAGGUACUGCUCAACUGCAAGGAAAGAAAAGUGCUCCCUCGUGCUGAUAGUUAACACUGGAGAUGGUGUGUUAAUCCUGAGAAAUCAGUGUUCCUGAUUUAGCUGGGCAUUGCUUUACAUGCCCAAGCACCCUUAUGUGUAUCCUCACUGAAGGUGCUGGGUACAGCUCUUUAUCCCACUCCUGUGUGCCUGCAGGGUGUUGCUCAGUUUAUAGCAGUGUAACUGUAUCAUUUCAGGUUGUGUCUCAGGCAGAGAGCUGUAUUCAUGGGAUGCUGUACCUGGUUUGGAGGUUGGAGUAAGCAGAACCAGCACUGGGGCUUGGGAGGGGUUGCACGAGGCCUUCCCUGGGAUUCAGCACUACUUGUGUGGAGGUGAUCCAGGAGAGUGAAGCCAUUGAGCUGGGCAGUGGAAACACAGCUGGAGGGCAAUGCCUGAUCCAUGGAGUGCAUGCCUCAGCCCUGCUGAAGGUCUGGUAAUAGAUCUGAGACCACACCACCUGGAUGCAGAACAUGGCCUCACAGAGCAGCCUGUGAGCCCUCUGCAGCACGGCCAUGCUCCUUCCUGCCUCUCCUUUUCUCCAUGGCCUCACUCUGAAAGCAAUGCAGGAUGAAACAGUGGUGCUGAGCUUAAGCCUAUCCCUGGAGCUGCCUGUCAUGAUGGAGAGUGAUGCAGAGCUCCUGGGAGGCAUCUGCUUUCCUGCCAGAGCUCCCACUUACACCCCAAAACAGAGGUAAGCAAAACAUCUGCUUUUCUGAGCCUGUAGGACCCACGUUCAGGAUAAGGUAAGAGAACGACUGUCCAUACCUGUGUACGCAUCAUUGCAGGCAUAAAGGACAGCACUUAAGGGGAAUAUACAGAUCAUAUAUACAGACAUUUUCCACCAGGCUAUGGGAUUUCUUUAGAGCUCCAAAUGAUUAUAGCUGAAGAGGGUUUCUCCAGCAGUUUAAGUUACUGGAUGUAAUUAAACAAGAUGUAGGCCAUCCUUUGUGCUGGGAAAGCUUCCUGAGGGAAUCUGCAAAAUGGGAUGCAGAAUAUAACCCACAGAGUAAAUAUACCAUUCUUCUGUGCAGCCUUUCCCCUAGGAGGAUUAGAGACCCCCAGGAUUCAUCCCACAUAAGCUGUUCAGUGGUAAUGCUGGGUGUGAUGGGCAAUUACCAGCUGCAGAAGCAGACACCAUGUAGCCAGCUCAUCUUCAUUGAUCCCAAGGAUGAGUUUGGACCUUUGUGACUUGUGGCCUAUUUCUGAUAACAUGAAUGAAUUUGCAGACAGGAGGAAGAAGUAUCCUGCUUUUCAGGGUGAUGGGAGCCAUAUCAGUCUGUGAUUCAUUCUGUGGUUCGAUGAUUUUUAGGUGGUGCUGCUGAAAAUGUCAUUUCUUCUUCUUCUGCAACACUGGCCUGAUGGUUCAGUUUCAUUGUUUCCAGAGGGGACACUGGCAUUGGAGACUGGCCCCUUCAAUAACUUGAGGCAUCUUUUGAAUAUGUCCUUCCCCAACCACCUCUGUAGCUUAAUGGCAUCAAUUGUGCGUAUGAAUAGAUGAAUUCCAGAUGAGAGACCUGCAUGCCAGCAAGUAAGAGAUCUCACAGGCAUUCCUAUGUGGUUGCUGGCUGUUUACUCUCCUAAUACUUUCUGCUAGUAGAUGAGCUAUAAUAAUUGGGCUGCUUCUCUCCUCCUCCACAAAGUUACUGGCUUUGCAUAAACUCGGCGUGCUCGUGCUGGCUUCAUCAGGGAAUCAGGUCAUGGAGCUGAAAGAUCUGUUCAGAUACCACGGUAUGUUCGACUGCUGCUAUGCUCCAUCCUCCAGGUUGUUUAUUUAAAUAAAGAGGAGCUUUCUGAAGGGCAUGAGCUCAUUUUAACAGGGCUCCCAAAGGGGAUGUCAGGCAUUGGUGGGAUCUGCAGGGCUUGCAGGUCUAGGGUUUCACACUGCCCUAGGUCUCAAAUGCAGCUUAGAUCUGACAUCCAUCCAGAGCAGCUCACAGCCAGCCUAGAUAACGGCGGUUACAGAAACAAAGUGGUUACUGAAUGGAUGCACAGGUCAGUGCAAUGGUUGUUGUU